rnacentral:lncRNA from 1 species
ACAAAAUUCAAUGAGUUCAGAGAUAGAAAAACCUAUCCAAUUGCAUCUCAUGCGACUCUCAAUAUAAACCUUGACUCUAAAAAUACUUAUAGCCUUGUGGAUAUCACAACAAACUAUAGUAUUUUUAGUUAAGUCAGAUCCUUCAUUUCUAUACAGCCAUAUCUAAAAAAUAUUAUCCUUAUGGAUAUCAUAACAAAGCAACAUAUCUAAAAUAUACCGUAAAGCAUCUAAUAUGCACCA